UCCUCCACAAAGAUUAAAGUCUGUAAGCAUACUCUCGUUUCAGCCAUGACUGCCACCUUUAAGCAUUCAGAAAACAGGCCUCAGCACCGUCUCUCAGUACAGAUUUCGGCGAUCUUCCUCAACUUGUGGUUCUGCAAAGUCUGGCACACCUCCAGUAAGGUAAGUAUCCCUUCCCCUUUUCAGACCUUCUGUUGCCAAAUAAUGUGUCGUUUCAUUCCCCUUUCUUGAAACAUGCUUAAACAUGCGUUGCAUGAAAAUCUGACUAAGGGAUUUUGACUCUUCAAUGUAUGCACUAAUAACUGAU
rnacentral:lncRNA from 1 species